rnacentral:rRNA from 1 species
AAAAUUGAUACCGUAACUUCGGAAGAAGGUAUGCCUUUUUUGGUCACUGGACUUGCUCCAGGAAGCUGAAGAAGGCCGCAGGUAAUCGGGGGCUGCGACUGUUUACCAAAAACACAGGACUCUGCGAACACGUAAGUGGAUGUAUAGGGUCUGACGCCUGCCCGGUGCUGGAAGGUUAAUUGAUGGGGUCAGCCGCAAGGCGAAGCUCUUGAUCGAAGCCCCAGUAAACGGCGGCCGUAACGAUAACGGUCCUAAGGUAGCGAAAUUCCUUGUCGGGUAAGUUCCGACCUGCACGAAUGGCGUAACGCUGGCCCCACUGUCUCGACCAGAGACUCAGUGAAGUUGAAAUCGCUGUGAAGAUGCGGCGUAGCUGCGGAAAGACGGAAAGACCCCGUGAACCUUUACUACAGCUUUACACUGAACUUUGAAUUUAUUUGUGUAGGAUAGGUGGGAGCCUUUGAAGCAGGGGCGCUAGCUCUUGUGGAGGCAACCUUGAAAUACCACCCUGAUAACUUCGGAGUUCUAACCUAGAUCCGUAAUCCGGAUUGGGAACACUGUAUGGUGGGUAGUUUGACUGGGGCGGUCUCCUCCCAAAGAGUAACGGAGGAGUGCAAAGGUACCCUCAGCGCGGUCGGUCAUCGCGCUUUUGAGUGCAAUGGCAUAAGGGUGCUUGACUGCGAGACGUACAUGUCGAGCAGGAACGAAAGUUGGUCAUAGUGAUCCGGUGGUUCUGUAUGGAAGGGCCAUCGCUCAACGGAUAAAAGGUACUCCGGGGAUAACAGGCUUAUUCCUCCCAAGAGUCCACAUCGACGGAGGAGUUUGGCACCUCGAUGUCGGCUCAUCACAUCCUGGGGCUGUAGCAGGUCCCAAGGGUUCGGCUGUUCGCCGAUUAAAGUGGUACGCGAGCUGGGUUCAAAACGUCGUGAGACAGUUUGGUCCCUAUCUUCCGUAGCCGUUGGAGAUUUGAGGGUGAGUUGCUCCUAGUACGAGAGGACCGGAGUGAAUGUAUCUCUGGUGUUCCGGUUGUCACGCCAGUGGCACUGCCGGGUAGCUAUAUACAGACGGGAUAACCGCUGAAAGCAUCUAAGCGGGAAGCCCCCCCCAAGACGAGAUCUCCCUGAGGACUUGAUCCUCCUAAAGGGCCCAAGAAGACUACUUGGUUGAUAGGCUGGGUGUGUACGCGUAGCAAUACGCUUAGCUAACCAGUACUAAUUGCCCGUGAGGCUUGAUCAA